rnacentral:rRNA from 1 species
GUAGGGUGCAAGCGUUGUCCGGAAUUAUUGGGCGUAAAGAGCUCGUAGGCGGCUUGUCGCGUCGGCUGUGAAAACUCGGGGCUCAACCCCGAGCCUGCAGUCGAUACGGGCAGGCUAGAGUCCGGCAGGGGAGACUGGAAUUCCUGGUGUAGCGGUGAAAUGCGCAGAUAUCAGGAGGAACACCGGUGGCGAAGGCGGGUCUCUGGGCCGGAACUGACGCUAAGGAGCGAAAGCGUGGGGAGCGAACAGG